UUCCUCUCAGGGUUGCACCUGGAGAGCUUCCAAUACUCUACCAGUCUCGACUACAGGAGGGAGAGUCACGCAGAGGCAUACCCAUUCCAUUUCUAGCUUGGGCAGUGGCUAGCAAGUGGAAGGCAAUCUGCUACAAGU
rfam:Ornithorhynchus anatinus chromosome 4, whole genome shotgun sequence.